rnacentral:rRNA from 1 species
AGAGUUUGAUCCUGGCUCAGAGCGAACGCUGGCGGCAGGCCUAACACAUGCAAGUCGAGCGGCCGUAGCAAUACGGCAGCGGCAGACGGGAGAGUAACACGUGGGAACGCGCCCUUCGGUUCGGGAUAACUCAGGGAAACUUGGGCUAAUACCGGAUACGCCCUUACGGGGAAAGAUUUAUUGCCGAAGGAACGGCCCGCGUCCGAUUAGCUUGUUGGUGAGGUAACGGCUCACCAAGGCGACGAUCGGUAGCUGGUCUGAGAGGAUGACCAGCCUCACUGGGACUGAGACACGGCCCAGACUCCUACGGGAGGCAGCAGUGGGGAAUAUUGGACAAUGGGCGCAAGCCUGAUCCAGCCAUGCCGCGUGGGUGAUGAAGGCCCUAGGGUUGUAAGGCCCUUUCGGCGGGGAAGAUAAUGACGUACCCGCAGAAGAAGCCCG